GUGCCAGCAGCCGCGGUAAUACCAGCUCCGCGAGUGGUCGGGGUGCUUACUGGGCCUAAAGCGCCCGUAGCCGGCCCGGUAAGUCGUCCCUGAAAUCCACGGGCUCAACCCGUGGGCUGGGGACGAUACUGCCGGGCUUGGGGGCGGGAGAGGCCGAGGGUACUCCCGGGGUAGGGGCGAAAUCCGAUAAUCCCGGGAGGACCCCAGUGGCGAAGGCGCUCGGCUGGAACGCGCCCGACGGUGAGGGGCGAAAGCUGGGGGAGCAAAGGGGAUUAGAUACCCCUGUAGUCCCAGCUGUAAACGGUGCGGGCUAGCUGUUGGGCGGGCUUAGAGCCCGCCCAGUGGCGGAGGGAAGCCGUUAAGCCCGCCGCCUGGGGAGUACGGCCGCAAGGCUGAAACUUAAAGGAAUGGCGGGGGGGCACCACAAGGGGUGAAGCUUGCGGCUUAAUUGGAGUCAACGCCGGAAACCUUACCCGGGGCGACAGCAGGAUGAUGGCCAGGCUAACGACCUUGCCGGACGAGCUGAGAGGAGGUGCAUGGCCGUCGUCAGCUCGUGCCGUGAGGUGUCCGGUUAAGUCCGGCAACGAGCGAGACCCCCACCCCUAGUUGCUACCCGAUCUUCGGGAUCGGGGGCACACUAGGGGGACUGCCGGCGUAAGCCGGAGGAAGGAGGGGGCCACGGCAGGUCAGUAUGCCCCGAAACCCCGGGGCUGCACGCGAGCUGCAAUGGCGGGGACAGCGGGAUCCGACCCCGAAAGGGGACCGUAAUCCCGUAAACCCCGCCCCAGUAGGGAUCGAGGGCUGUAACUCGCCCUCGUGAACGUGGAAUCCCUAGUAACCGCGUGUCACCAACGCGCGGUGAAUACGUCCCUGCCCCUUGCACACACCGCCCGUC
rnacentral:rRNA from 1 species